GAUGAACGCUAGCUACAGGCUUAACACAUGCAAGUCGAGGGGCAUCAGGAAGAAAGCUUGCUUUCUUUGCUGGCGACCGGCGCACGGGUGAGUAACACGUAUCCAACCUGCCCUUUACUCGGGGAUAGCCUUUCGAAAGAAAGAUUAAUACCCGAUAGCAUAAUGAUUCCGCAUGGUUUCAUUAUUAAAGGAUUCCGGUAAAGGAUGGGGAUGCGUUCCAUUAGGUUGUUGGUGAGGUAACGGCCCACCAAGCCUUCGAUGGAUAGGGGUUCUGAGAGGAAGGUCCCCCACAUUGGAACUGAGACACGGUCCAAACUCCUACGGGAGGCGGCAGUGAGGAAUAUUGGUCAAUGGGCGCUAGCCUGAACCAGCCAAGUAGCGUGAAGGAUGAAGGCUCUAUGGGUCGUAAACUUCUUUUAUAUAAGAAUAAAGUGCAGUAUGUAUACUGUUUUGUAUGUAUUAUAUGAAUAAGGAUCGGCUAACUCCGUGCCAGCAGCCGCGGUAAUACGGAGGAUCCGAGCGUUAUCCGGAUUUAUUGGGUUUAAAGGGAGCGUAGGUGGACUGGUAAGUCAGUUGUGAAAGUUUGCGGCUCAACCGUAAAAUUGCAGUUGAUACUGUCAGUCUUGAGUACAGUAGAGGUGGGCGGAAUUCGUGGUGUAGCGGUGAAAUGCUUAGAUAUCACGAAGAACUCCGAUUGCGAAGGCAGCUCACUGGACUGCAACUGACACUGAUGCUCGAAAGUGUGGGUAUCAAACAGGAUUAGAUACCCUGGUAGUCCACACAGUAAACGAUGAAUACUCGCUGUUUGCGAUAUACAGUAAGCGGCCAAGCGAAAGCAUUAAGUAUUCCACCUGGGGAGUACGCCGGCAACGGUGAAACUCAAAGGAAUUGACGGGGGCCCGCACAAGCGGAGGAACAUGUGGUUUAAUUCGAUGAUACGCGAGGAACCUUACCCGGGCUUAAAUUGCAGUGGAAUGAUGUGGAAACAUGUCAGUGAGCAAUCACCGCUGUGAAGGUGCUGCAUGGUUGUCGUCAGCUCGUGCCGUGAGGUGUCGGCUUAAGUGCCAUAACGAGCGCAACCCUUAUCUUCAGUUACUAACAGGUCAUGCUGAGGACUCUGGAGAGACUGCCGUCGUAAGAUGUGAGGAAGGUGGGGAUGACGUCAAAUCAGCACGGCCCUUACGUCCGGGGCUACACACGUGUUACAAUGGGGGGUACAGAAGGCAGCUAGCGGGUGACCGUAUGCUAAUCCCAAAAGCCUCUCUCAGUUCGGAUCGAAGUCUGCAACCCGACUUCGUGAAGCUGGAUUCGCUAGUAAUCGCGCAUCAGCCAUGGCGCGGUGAAUACGUUCCCGGGCCUUGUACACACCGCCCGUCAAGCCAUGAAAGCCGGGGGUACCUGAAGUACGUAACCGCAAGGAGCGUCCUAGGGUAAAACUGGUAAUUGGGGC
rnacentral:rRNA from 1 species